UAAGCUUGUGAAAACAAAAUAUGUACAUA
rnacentral:sRNA from 1 species